UGGACCAUGGUGACACAGCUCUGUGUGAUUCGAGUUCUGGCAGAGCUUGUAAGGCUAGAGCCCAGGUCUGCCGACACCCUGUGCUUGUUGCACACUUGAUUUGCUAAGGUUGGAGACAGGCACCAUUGCCAUGGGGCUGGUCCUAGUCACUGGCCAUCUGCAAGCCCCUGCCCAUGGCCCAAUGGGGAGCCUCCAGCCACAAGUUCCCUAUCCUUAUCAGCCACUGGGUGGUUCCCACUGCAUGACCCUCUAUCCCUGCCAUCUGUCCCCGUGGUUUCCAGCUUAAUCCACCCCUGACCCAUCUGUCAGCUCUCUCCCAGGGAGCCGUUUCAGGGGUUCUGGGCAGUAGGCUGGGCCUGGCCUCAGAACCCGGCGGCUCCUGCCUGCUCCUUCACUUUUGUAAAACCAACCUUUUCACCAGAAUGGUAUUAACUCCUGGUGCUUUGUACUACUGGUCCAGCUGCCCUGGGCUCCUUUUCUAUAUUAAUAAAGAAAUUAGUAAAAAUU
rnacentral:sRNA from 1 species